rnacentral:rRNA from 1 species
AUGAACGCUGGCGGCGUGCCUAAUACAUGCAAGUCGAGCGAACAGACGAGGAGCUUGCUCCUCUGACGUUAGCGGCGGACGGGUGAGUAACACGUGGAUAACCUACCUAUAAGACUGGGAUAACUUCGGGAAACCGGAGCUAAUACCGGAUAAUAUAUUGAACCGCAUGGUUCAAUAGUGAAAGACGGUUUUGCUGUCACUUAUAGAUGGAUCCGCGCCGCAUUAGCUAGUUGGUAAGGUAACGGCUUACCAAGGCGACGAUGCGUAGCCGACCUGAGAGGUGGACCGGCACAGCGGGAACUGAGACACGGCCCAACCCCCUAGGGGAGGCAGGAGUAGGAAACUUUCCGCAAGGGGGGAAAGCCUAGGGGGGCAACGCCGGGGGGGGGAAGAAGGUUUUCGGAUCGUAAAACUCUUUUUUUGGGGAAGAACAAAUGUGUAAGAAACUAUGCCGUUUUUAACGGUACCAAAUAAGAAAGCCCCGGCUAACUACGU